AUCUAUAUAGUUUAAUGGUAAAACAUUACAUUUUCAGUGUAAAGUUAGAUAACAAUCUUAUAGAUU
rnacentral:tRNA from 1 species